UUAAAUAUAGCCUUACUGCUAACAAAAAGUAACUCCUCCCCAUGGUCAUUUUUCCAAGAUGUAACUUGGCCCCCAUAAAAGUAUACCUCAGCAGAACUGCCGCCUGACUCGCGGAGAACGAUUUUGUCGAGACCAUUGAUGCCUUUACAGAGCUCGACCGGUACCAUAUCGCUGCCCAUAGCCAUUAUUAGUACAGUGUCUCAGCCUGAAGCUACUGCUUCUUCUUCUUCUUCUUGUCACAGAACAAAAUUACCAAACAAAUCUGUGCAGAGUACGCAAAUCACAGUCCCAGUGUUGAU
rnacentral:misc_RNA from 1 species